rnacentral:rRNA from 1 species
CCAGCUCCAAUAGCGUAUAUUUAAAUUGUUGCAGUUAAAAAGCUCGUAGUUGGAUCUCGGAGAGGAGUUGUCGGUCGUCCCAAGUGGAUGCUAUCGUCUCUCCUCCCUCUCUGCCGAGAGCUCGUCCUGGCCUUAAUUGGCUGGGCGAAGGUCACGGCGAUGUUACUUUGAAUAAAUUAUAGUGUUCAAAGCAGGCUCUCGCUCUGCAUACACUAGCAUGGAAUAACAGUAUAGGACUUCGGUCCCAUUCUGUUGGUCUCCUUGACCGGAGUAAUGAUUAAUAGGGAUUGUCGGGGGCAUUCGUAUUUCAUUGUUAGAGGUGAAAUUCUUGGAUCAAUGAAAGACGAACUUCUGCGAAAGCAUUUGCCAAGGAUGUUUUCA